UACGUAGGUCCCGAGCGUUGUCCGGAUUUAUUGGGCGUAAAGCGAGCGCAGGUGGUUUAUUAAGUCUGGUGUAAAAGGCAGUGGCUCAACCAUUGUAUGCAUUGGAAACUGGGAGACUUGAGUGCAGGAGAGGAGAGUGGAAUUCCAUGUGUAGCGGUGAAAUGCGUAGAUAUAUGGAGGAACACCGGUGGCGAAAGCGGCUCUCUGGCCUGUAACUGACACUGAGGCUCGAAAGCGUGGGGAGCAAACAGG
rnacentral:rRNA from 1 species